AACUACAAACUUUGUGUGGAGCUGAUAGUCUUCAUCGGCUUUGUAGCAACUCAUGGGGCAAUGGUUUGAAUGUAACGUUCAUAAAUAUAGAGAAAAGCU